rnacentral:rRNA from 1 species
AAACCGUUCAGGGGUAAACCUAAGAAACCCAAAAGAUCGAACGGGGAGAUUCAUCGUCAGCGGCGCUGGCUUCGCGUCGGUCGGCGAUGUCCCGCGGUGCCGUUUCUCGGCUCUCGCGCGGGCACGCUACCGUGCGCCGAUGUCCGGCGUUCGUCGUCGUGCACUUCUCCCCUAGUAGGACGUCGCGACCCGCUGGGUGUCGGUCUACGGCCCGGGUGCGGUGACUGUCGCGUCGCCGGUAAAACGGCACACGGCAAACUCCCGGUCGCCCGGCCGGCUGCCCGGCGGUACACGCUACGGUAUCAGGCCGCGCCACGUGCGCGUCGAGCCCGUCGCAAGCGAGCGCCACGGUACUCGGAGGUACGGACCUAGCGCCGUCCCCGGUCCUGGCCCGCUGUUAGCUGUACGGUGCUACCUUCGACAGGCCUUCUCCCGCGUGUGCGGCAACGCGCACCGGGAUACCGGUCGGCGACGCUACUGCUUUGGGUACUCUUAGGA